UUAAUGAGUAUGCUAACUUUCAUAGGGAUGCUAUGGUUAGCAGCUUCGCCUCACACAAUAGAAGGCAACUGGUUCAAAUCCCAGCUGACGCCAUUCUGUGAGGACGUGAGAUGCUCCCCUACUGUCAAGGAGUGCUGCCGCAGUCAGUCUGAACAAGGCCUAACCCAUCACAAAGUAGCAGAUGGAUGAUUUAGUAACAGAACACUGCACAGGACUUCAUAUUAGUGAAAAAUAAAGAAGCAGUUUACACACAUGUGGCCACAAGGGGCUGAGUGAGGUGGGAACUGAGAGUUUUAGAGGGAAUUGGGAUCUGUCAGGUGUCAGUACCUCUCCUGACCGAGGCUGACAGCAUCACAUGCCCACCUCCCCCCCUCAAACCUCACCUCAAUCUCACCACCUCAUAGAAGCCGGCACUCCCACCCCCCUCACCCCACCCACUCUCAACCCUCUAACCCACCCAGCCACGGCACAGCACUGCCACCGCUCUGAAAGCCUAAACCAGAGAGGAGGAAGAGAGAGGCUCCUGACAGCGGAAACACAAGCACUUUAAAGCUCCAAACCCUUUCACUGAGAUCAAAGGGCCAUAGGAACUGAGCCAGCUGAGACCCAAGGAGAGAGGAGAGGGAGC